GCAAUGAAAAUACAUAAAAAUUAUUAUGAAAAAUUAGGACAGCCAAAACAAAAAACAAAGCCUCAUGUUGCAUGGUGCUCACUCUAAAAGUUUCAAACUUUUACUCUGUUAAUACACAGUUAAACAUUCCUAAGACAUUAAAUAAUCUUUGUUGAGUGUGAGACUUUAUGAUGUGCAAACGGAUGUGUAGAUGCAUAGCACAAUCUACUAUAAAUAGAAUUAGUAGAAGGUCCAUUUCACUUCUCAAGAAGUGAGGCUCAUGCAAUUUGUUGGGUGUAAAAUCCUAUUUAUCCCAUCUACAGACUUACUGAUUUUGGCAUCCCAGUGUACUGUACAUCUAAUCAUCCAUUUGUUUCCAACACAAGCAUAUCAAACCAGAGUUCUGUCACAGUUCAAAAUUACCAUUUUUGUUUUUAAUUAGUUCCGGAACCAGUCUCCAAAAAAGAUCACAUUCAGAUUUGCACAAGUGACCUCAAAUUUAUUGUAUAAUGAGAAUUCUGAACACUAAUAACCAAAUCAUAUGUUUCAGCAGUCAAUAAAAUGUGAAGUAUAUUUUUCAAAGAUUUUUCUAAUAUUACUUUUCUGAUGUACCAAAA
rnacentral:misc_RNA from 1 species